rnacentral:lncRNA from 1 species
CAAUUAGGUUCUGUGGUCCAGCUGUGGGAGUGGUGCUGAUUCACCGGUUAGACCAGCUGUGGGAGUGGUGCUGAUUCACCGGUUAGACCAGCUGUGGGAAUGGUGCUGUUUCACCGGUCAGACCAGUUGUGGGAGUUGUGCUGUUUCACCGGUCAGACGUACCAUGACAUUGCAGUUUGGUUUGUGACCUGCCAGUAUAAAAGCUCUGGUGCAAGAGGUUUGUCUACAUACAUCCGACAACAUGAAGGUUCAACUUCUCACGCUGCUGCUCCUGCUGUGCAGCACUCAAGUGCUCACACUCAGAUGCUACACCUGUGUAGGUGAAGAUGACGAGGACUGUAAGGUGGAGACAGAGUGCCCGGCAACAGCUCAGUACUGCAUGACCAUGCAAUACGGUGGAGAACUUUCUCGAACUUGUCAGGAUUAUUGUGCCGAAGAUGAUAACACAUAUUGCUGCCAAGAAGACCUCUGCGACCCAUGAGUCAUCCCUCAGCGCUGACUUUCGCUUUCUGAAAAAUGAAAUGAAUAUAUAAGACAAAUGUAUUACUUAAAUCUAAAUCAGAUCGAAGAUGAUUUUUAACUUUAUAGGAUUGUAAUGUGACUAUCCUGUCUUGCUUUUACUUUCAUUAAACUCUACAAAUAUUGAAUCA